rnacentral:rRNA from 1 species
AGUUGAUCCUGGCUCAGAUUGAACGCUGGCGGCAGGCCUAACACAUGCAAGUCGAACGGUAACAGGAAGAAGCUUGCUUCUUUGCUGACGAGUGGCGGACGGGUGAGUAAUGUCUGGGAAACUGCCUGAUGGAGGGGGAUAACUACUGGAAACGGUAGCUAAUACCGCAUAACGUCGCAAGACCAAAGAGGGGGACCUUCGGGCCUCUUGCCAUCGGAUGUGCCCAGAUGGGAUUAGCUUGUUGGUGGGGUAACGGCUCACCAAGGCGACGAUCCCUAGCUGGUCUGAGAGGAUGACCAGCCACACUGGAACUGAGACACGGUCCAGACUCCUACGGGAGGCAGCAGUGGGGAAUAUUGCACAAUGGGCGCAAGCCUGAUGCAGCCAUGCCCGCGUGUAUGAAGAAGGCCUUCGGGUUGUAAAGUACUUUCAGCGGGGAGGAAGGGAGUAAAGUUAAUACCUUUGCUCGUUGACGUUACCCGCAGAAGAAGCACCGGCUAACUCCGUGCCAGCCGCGGC